GACCCACCAGGUGGAGGAGAUGUUGCCCCGGGUGCGGGGGCCGGGGUGGGGGGAAGGCGGGGAGGAGGCUCCAAGGAAACUGCCCUCCACAGAGAGUCUGUCCGCAAAUUGUCUCAUGUAGCCAGAACAGCCAGGAGCAAGGUAGGGGGAGCAGAGUUUGGUCUGAGGAGAGCCAGUGUAUUGUAAACAGGAUAAAAGGGCCUGGAAAGCCCCACUUAUCACUGACUAAUGUGUCCCCAGGUCAUCGGGGAGCUGGACCCCCACCAGUAGCCCUGAGUGAAAAAGAAUUCCCCAUUAACCCCAUCACCUGGGAGUGGAGCCAGGGCAAAGGUCUGGCUUUUCCUCUUGCUAAGUGAGUCCCAUCAUCCUUAAGCCUUCGUGGGGCUCAACACAGUUUCUAGGGAGCUCUCAGCCAGAUGGGAGAGAUGUCUUCUGGGGUCCCCUGGAGCAGGGCCUGCGUGUGGGCAUGCUUGGAAGGAGAGGGGGUUUGGAAGAAGGCAGAGGUAGCGGGAGGCCGGAGGCAGUUGCAGGAGCAGCUUACUCUCCUGCUUAAUCACGGAGGUGGGGAGGCUUGAGGGUCAGCACAUGGAGCAGUGGCAUGGCUAAAUUUAUUUACUCUAGCUGAUUUACAGUGUUCCGUCAUUUUCUGCUGUGCAGCAAAGUGACCCAGUCAUACAUACAUAUACGUUCUUUUUUCCACAUUAUCCUCCAUCAUGUUCCAUCACGAGUGGCUUUAUUUAGACUUGAGGGGCUGACUGAGGUCUCUGUGACUCUGGACUCUCAUGAUCUCAUUCAUUGUCUACAAACGCCGUAUGUGCAAGUAUCUUAGAGCUGAGAAACCAAAGGUUAAGUCAAGUCUCCAAAGUGAAUGGUGGAUAAGUGGCCCACUGAGAACCAAACUCAGGCCUGGCUGAUCCCAGCCUGGGCAGGUUAAGUCAGUUGGACCAGGUGUCCCACAUGGCUGUUUAAGUGUGAAGACUUCCAAGGGAUGCUUGGAUGAAAUGAGUUCAACUUUUCUCUGUAUAUACUUCACCCUUCCAGGGAGCCUUCCGUGAUCAUCUCUGUCAUCUUUGGGCCCCCGUUUUCUUGGACCCCUGAGCAUGGACUAGUAGCAAGAGUUCAGAGUUUGAAACAGAGAGUCUGCAUGUGAUUUUUCCAACUUGUGCCCUUUUGCCAAAUCAAUUCUUCUGAGCCUCAGUUUCUUUAUCUGUUAUAUGGGGACCCUAAUAUCCACUCUCUGUAUUUCACCAUUUUGUAGGAGGAUUAAAUAAGAAGGGCUUUAAUAUCCACUCUCUGUAUUUCACCAUUUUGUAGGAGGAUUAAAUAAGAAGGGCUUUGCCCAUGAUUUGAGGGUUAAUUAUAUUCACAGUGAUUGUCGUGGGACCUCCUGAGUGAAUUUCUUGACUCCAGUGUUCGCCCCCUCGCCCUCCUGCCUCUCAGGGAUAUUGCCUUCAGGUUCACCUGCCUAAAACCUCACCUGAUGCAUGCCUCCUGCUCAGAACCAUCCGCGACUCCCUGCUACUGCUUCCUUGGCCAGGAACUCACCUUUCCAGGACUGGCUCACCUACCACUCCCAAACCGGGGGCCUCUGCUCCUCUGCCCAACCAUGGGUUUGAGUCACGGUUCCUACUUGGGAUGUCCAAACACACUGUAUGUUCUCCUACCUGUAGGCCUGUGCUGGCUCCUCGGAGAGAUCUGUCCCCUCUUCCAAGGAGGUGGCUCUGAUCCCAGCCCCUCCUCCAGCUGGCUUCCUGAUGACCUGUCCUGUUGCACCUCUCUGCCCUUCUGUCCUUGUCAUUCUCUGUGCCUUGGCAUUCACCUCCGGGGAGUGAUGCCUUUCCAUGGAUGAUCAGUCUCCACAUUAGACCAUAAGCUUCUUGAGGACCAGGACCUGCUUAUGUCUUUCAGUGAACCUCCUCAACUAAUGUAGGCUAGAGGGGCAGUGGCUUAACGGCAUGUCCUCAGGAAUCCAUCAAUCUACAGGGCAGGAGAGAGUGGCUUACCCUGCCCCGUGAGCCGCUUGAGCAGAGCUACUUUGAGUCUCUGGCCUACUGGAGGGCUCAGUGUACAUCCAUGCAUUGGCUCAAGCCUCGGCAGGCCAGUGUGGAGGGGGCGAUUGUUUUUAACAGGUGGCAGGCAACUCUGUGGGUCCUGGCAAAGAGUACCAACGUAGAAGCCCUCUAUUCUGCAGCUCCAUAGACCUUGCCCGGAGCAUACAGGAGCCUCUGUGACAUCUCCUUUCAUAUCCACCAUUCAGUGAGUCCUCAGGCUUUCACAUGUGUGGUGGGAGGCAGGAGUAGGAGGGAGUUUUCCUUCCAUGCCCUUGAUAACCAAUGAACUGAUGACCAUUCGGCCUGCUCAUCUUCCUAGAGAGAAGCUGAGGGUCCAAAGAGGGGUGCGUCCUGCCCACAUCAGGCAGCGUUCAAAGCCCAGCUGGGGUUGGAACCUGCAUGUCCCGACUCCAGUCCAGUGCCCAGCUGUGUACCUCAUACUCUCCUUGGGUGACACACAGAUCAAGGUCCUGCAGACAGGGAUUCUGGAAGGGGCCUGGGACCCAGCCCCCCAUGAAAAUUGCCUUUAACCUGCCAGGAGAUGGAGUAGGCCCACCCAGACCGAAAAGUUUCCAAGAAGAAAUCUCUAAGCCCCCCUCCAAAGCCCUGAAACCUGGCACACCUCAGUGCAUCAUGUUUUUUUCUCCUCAUGAGAUAAAGAUGCUGUCACCAGAGCCCAAACCACAUGGUCUGGGGCGUCCCUGUCCAACAUGCUAUCUGCUAACCACAUGUGGCUAUUGAGUACUGGAAGGGUGGCUUGUGCGAAUUGGCUUUUGCUGUAAGUGUAAGAUACCCACUGGCUUUCAAAAACUUAGCACAGCAAAAUGCAAAAUACUUUUUUGUUUUUGUUUUUUUUUUUGUCUUUUUUUUUGUUUUUUUUUUUACCUUUUCUAGGGCUGCUCCCAUGGCAUAUGGAGGUUCCCAGGCUAGGGGUCUAAUCAGAGCUGUAGCCACCGGUUUACACCAGAGACACCGCAAUGAGGGAUCCGAGCCGCGUCUGCGACCUACAGCACAGCUCACGGCAACGCCAGAUUGUUAACCCACUGAGCAAGGCCAGGGAUCGAACCCGCAACCUCAUGGUUCCCAGUCAGAUUCGUUAACCACUGAGCCACGACGGGAACUCCAAAACGAUAAAGUUUUAGAUGUGUGAAUUGACUUUUGCUGUAAGAUACCCACUGGCUUUCAAAAACUUAGCACAGCAAAAUACAAAAUAUGUCAAUACUUUUUUACAUUGAUUCAUGUUGAAACGGUAAGGUUUUAGACGUCUUGGGUUAAGUAAAAUAUAUUAUUAAAAAUGAGGAGUUCUCUUGUAGCACAGCAGGUUAAGGACCCGGGCAGGAGCCACAUCUCCACAGAGGUCCAUGGCUGAACUCAGCACAGUUCAGAUGAACCCCGCAUCCCACGGGCAAAAGCCCCAUUCAACAACCACCACGCUGACCCCAAAUAAGCCGGAUCAAGCCAGGGAUCCUCAGUAGCCAAGGCUUUCUCACCCUGCUUUCAGGGUCUCCAGGAGACAAGCUGCAUUCACAGCGAUAAUGUUGCAGCUUUGAAAGGGAAGCGCCCCAAACCCCCUGGGCCUGGGGGCUAGAGGAGCCCUCUGAGGAGAGGGCCAGACGGCAGGCAUCCCUCAGAGGCCUCCGUCCCGCUGCAGGCCAUGGGGCCAACGUGUCCCAACACCGACAGCUUCCUUGCACAAGCCAGACCUCACAGAGUGAGGGGCGCGCCGGGAGGGUCGGGAGCUCAUCCAUCAAGAACCAUCAAACAGCAGGGCCACAGGCCUGCCUGAACGCUUGGCUCUUUCAAGGGGCCUUCUGCACCCCCACCCCCACCCUCCAAACCUUGGCCUCCUGGAAUCAAAGCUGGAUUGCACAGAGAUCUCCAAAGCUUUGUUUACACCAAGAGCUGGGGCUGGGCAGUGGGAAGGGUCCCUGAAAUGAAAGCAGAGGAUCUUCAGUCCUCCCCACCCCACCUGACACCUGCACCUGGCUCGGUCUCCUGAAGCACCAGGGGUCAGCCGGCCUCAGGUGCCCUGAGUGUCACAGCCAGGUCCUCCCUGCCAGGUGGGACAAGAGCCUGGACUUCCCUUCUCCCCUUCUCACCCAAGGGAGCCCCAGCUGGGGGUCUGCUGUCCUGACUACAGCAGGGCCAAGAAGAACCCCAAGCCUUGGGCAUCAUUGCUCAUGGAGGCAUCAGAAAGGCCUGUGUUCGAAUCCUAGCUUAGCCCCAUUUCCUUAAUUGCCCUGCACCUCCUGCAUUCUUGGUAGAGUGGAAAGCCUAUCAGAGAGAUGUGGGUUGGGCCAGUGGCUAGCUGUGCAUCCUGGGAGAAGUCACUUGACUACUCUGAUCUUUAUCUUCCUUAUGAUUUUUUUAUAAGGAUUCAAUGAAAUCCGGGAUUUGAAAACACCUGGCGCAAUACAUAGUGGAUGCUGCCAUUAGAUGGAAUUCAUCCUUCUUCCUCAUGCCCUCCCAAAUCUCUCAGUACUUUCACAACAUAGCUCUGAUCACACUAAUCACCCUAGCCACAGGCAUAGCUAUAAGCAGGGCUCCCAAGUGGUGGGCUCCUGGCAGGACCUUGUCACAGUGCCUAGUACACUUGUGGUGCUCAGGCAAUGUUCUCAUUUUUAUAUCUUUGUGAAGUAGGGUUGCAUAUUAGUUCAGAGCAUAACUCUGCAGCCUGAGUUCAAAUCCAGACUGCCAUUUACUGGCCGGGCAACCUCAGC
rnacentral:lncRNA from 1 species